rnacentral:rRNA from 1 species
UACGUAGGGUGCAAGCGUUAAUCGGAAUUACUGGGCGUAAAGGGCGCGUAGGCGGCCUUCUAAGUCGGAUGUGAAAUCCCCAGGCUUAACCUGGGAACUGCAUCCGAUACUGGAUGGCUUGAAUCCGGGAGAGGGAUGCAGAAUUCCAGGUGUAGCGGUGAAAUGCGUAGAUAUCUGGAGGAAUACCGGUGGCGAAGGCGGCAUCCUGGACCGGCAUUGACGCUGAUGAGCGAAAGCUAGGGGAGCAAACGGG